UGGGGAAUUUUGGACAAUGGGCGAAAGCCUGAUCCAGCAAUGCCGCGUGUGUGAAGAAGGCCUUCGGGUUGUAAAGCACUUUUGUCCGGAAAGAAAUCCUUGGCUCUAAUACAGUCGGGGGAUGACGGUACCGGAAGAAUAAGCACCGGCUAACUACGUGCCAGCAGCCGCGGUAAUACGUAGGGUGCAAGCGUUAAUCGGAAUUACUGGGCGUAAAGCGUGCGCAGGCGGUUUGCUAAGACCGAUGUGAAAUCCCCGGGCUCAACCUGGGAACUGCAUUGGUGACUGGCAGGCUAGAGUAUGGCAGAGGGGGGUAGAAUUCCACGUGUAGCAGUGAAAUGCGUAGAGAUGUGGAGGAAUACCGAUGGCGAAGGCAGCCCCCUGGGCCAAUACUGACGCUCAUGCACGAAAGCGUGGGGAGCAAACAGGAUUAGAUACCCUGGUAGUCCACGCCCUAAACGAUGUCAACUAGUUGUUGGGGAUUCAUUUCCUUAGUAACGUAGCUAACGCGUGAAGUUGACCGCCUGGGGAGUACGGUCGCAAGAUUAAAACUCAAUGAAUUGAC
rnacentral:rRNA from 1 species